rnacentral:rRNA from 1 species
GAUGAACGCUGGCGGCGUGCUUAACACAUGCAAGUCGAACGGAAAGGCCAGUGCUUGCCCUGGUACUCGAGUGGCGAACGGGUGAGUAACACGUGGGUGAUCUGCCCUGUACUUCGGGAUAAGCUUGGGAAACUGGGUCUAAUACCGGAUAGGACAACUUUUUGGAUGUUGUUGUGGAAAGCUUUUGCGGUAUGGGAUGAGCUCGCGGCCUAUCAGCUUGUUGGUGGGGUAAUGGCCUACCAAGGCGUCGACGGGUAGCCGGCCUGAGAGGGUGUACGGCCACAUUGGGACUGAGAGACGGCCCAGACUCCUACGGGAGGCAGCAGUGGGGAAUAUUGCACAAUGGGCGCAAGCCUGAUGCAGCGACGCCGCGUGGGGGAUGAAGGCCUUCGGGUUGUAAACUCCUUUCGCUAGGGACGAAGCUUUUUUGUGACGGUACCUGGAGAAGAAGCACCGGCUAACUACGUG